rnacentral:rRNA from 1 species
UACGUAGGGGGCAAGCGUUGUCCGGAUUUAUUGGGCGUAAAGCGCUCGCAGGUGGUCCGUCGCGUCGUGCGUGAAAUACCCCGGCUCAACUGGGGGGGGUCGUGCGAUACGGGCGGACUGGAGGCCAGUAGGGGGAUGCGGAAUUCCGGGUGUAGUGGUGGAAUGCGUAGAGAUCCGGAGGAACACCAGCGGCGAAGGCGGCAUCCUGGACUGGUCCUGACACUCAGGAGCGAAAGCGUGGGGAGCGAACGAGG